rnacentral:rRNA from 1 species
GGUUAAGCGACUAAGCGUACACGGUGGAUGCCCUGGCAGUCAGAGGCGAUGAAGGGCGUGCUAAUCUGCGAUAAGCGCCGGUAAGGUGAUAUGAACCGUUAUAACCGGCGAUACCCGAAUGGGGAAACCCAGUGUGACUCGUCACACUAUCAUUAACUGAAUCCAUAGGUUAAUGAGGCGAACCGGGGGAACUGAAACAUCUAAGUACCCCGAGGAAAAGAAAUCAACCGAGAUUCCCCCAGUAGCGGCGAGCGAACGGGGAGGAGCCCAGAGCCUGAAUCAGCAUGUGUGUUAGUGGAAGCGUCUGGAAAGGCGCGCGAUACAGGGUGACAGCCCCGUACACAAAAGCGCAUGUGCUGUGAGCUCGAUGAGUAGGGCGGGACACGUGGUAUCCUGUCUGAAUAUGGGGGGACCAUCCUCCAAGGCUAAAUACUCCUGACUGACCGAUAGUGAACCAGUACCGUGAGGGAAAGGCGAAAAGAACCCCGGCGAGGGGAGUGAAAAAGAACCUGAAACCGUGUACGUACAAGCAGUGGGAGCACCCUUUGGGGUGUGACUGCGUACCUUUUGUAUAAUGGGUCAGCGACUUAUAUUCUGUAGCAAGGUUAACCGUAUAGGGGAGCCG